UUCAAUGGCCCACAGGACCAGGUUCAGGACA
rnacentral:piRNA from 1 species